rnacentral:rRNA from 1 species
UACGUAGGGGGCAAGCGUUGUCCGGAUUUAUUGGGCGUAAAGAGCGUGUAGGCGGUUUGGUAGGUCCGCUGUGAAAACUCGAGGCUCAACCUCGAGACGCCGGUGGAAACCAUCAGACUAGAGUCCGGAAGAGGAGAGUGGAAUUCCUGGUGUAGCGGUGAAAUGCGCAGAUAUCAGGAGGAACACCAAUGGCGAAGGCAGCACUCUGGGACGGUACUGACGCUGAGACGCGAAAGCGUGGGGAGCAAACAGG